UGGGGAAUCUUGCACAAUGGGGGAAACCCUGAUGCAGCGACGCCGCGUGAGCGAUGAAGGUUUUCGAAUCGUAAAGCUCUGUCCUAUGGGAAGAUAAUGACGGUACCAUAGGAGGAAGCCCCGGCUAACUACGUGCCAGCAGCCGCGGGAAUACGUAGGGGGCGAGCGUUGUCCGGAAUUACUGGGCGUAAAGGGUUCGCAGGCGGCAUGACAAGUCCGAUGUAAAAGGCGAAAGCUCAACUUUCGUAAGCAUCGGAAACUGUCAAGCUUGAGUGAAGGAGAGGCAAGUGGAAUUCCUAGUGUAGCGGUGGAAUGCGUAGAUAUUAGGAGGAAUACCGGUGGCGAAGGCGACUUGCCGGACUUCAACUGACGCUGAGGAACGAAAGCGUGGGUAGCAAACAGG
rnacentral:rRNA from 1 species